ensembl:lncRNA
GUCGAAUUAACACUUACAGCAUCAAAUUUAAACCCUAACUUUUACAGUAGAUGUAAAUACUGGAUGCUUUUGCAAAAUGUCAUGAAUAUCAUUUAUUUUUAUUUACUUAGCUAUUUAUUAAGUGUGCAGGACGUUACCUUUAAAUCAUUUUCAAUGUUGAGAAACACAGUCAUUACAGUGGGGUCCCUUAUUAUUAGUAUUUUUAUUAGUAUUAGUAGUAGUGGUAGUAAUAGUGGUAGUAGUAGUAAUGGUAAUGGUUGUAUUGGUAGUGGUAAUAGUAGUGGUAGUAGUACUAGUGGUGGUAGCAGUAGUAGUAAUGGUAGUAGUAGGGUUGUAGCAGUAGUGGUGGUAGUAGUGGUGGUGGUAGUGAUAGUAGUAGUAGAGGUAGCAGUAGUGGUGGUAAUAGCAGUAGUGGUGGUAGUGGUGAUAGUAGUGGUGUUGGUGGUAGUAGUAGUAGAGGUAGCAGUAGUGGUGGUAAUGGUGAUAGUGCUGUUAGUAGUAGUAGUAGAGAUAGCAGUAGUGGUGAUAGUAGUAGUAGUAGUAGAGAUAGCAGUAGUGGUGAUAGUAGUAGUAGUAGUAGAGAUAGCAGUAGUGGUGGUAGUGGUGAUAGUAGUGGUGUUGGUGGUAGUAGUAGUAGAGGUAGCAGUAGUGGUGGUAAUGGUGAUAGUGCUGUUAGUAGUAGUAGUAGGGUAGUAGUAGUAGUGGUGGUGAGGUUGGUAGUAGUAGAGGUAGCAGUAGUGGUGAUAGUAGAAGUAGAGGUAGCAGUAGUGGUGUUAGUAGUAGUAGGGUGUUAGUAGUAGUAGUGGUGGUGUUAGUAGAAGUAGUAGUAGUAGAGAUAGC